ACUAUGUGUUGUUGGGUAGGGGAGCGUUCUGUAAGCCUGUGAAGGUGGCCUGUGAGGGUUGCUGGAGGUAUCAGAAGUGCGAAUGCUGACAUAAGUAACGAUAAAGCGGGUGAAAAGCCCGCUCGCCGGAAGACCAAGGGUUCCUGUCCAACGUUAAUCGGGGCAGGGUGAGUCGACCCCUAAGGCGAGGCCGAAAGGCGUAGUCGAUGGGAAACGGGUUAAUAUUCCCGUACUUGGUGUUACUGCGAAGGGGGGACGGAGAAGGCUAUGUUGGCCGGGCGACGGUUGUCCCGGUUUAAGCGUGUAGGCUGGUUUUCCAGGCAAAUCCGGAAAAUCAAGGCUGAGGCGUGAUGACGAGGCACUACGGUGCUGAAGCAACAAAUGCCCUGCUUCCAGGAAAAGCCUCUAAGCAUCAGGUAACACGAAAUCGUACCCCAAACCGACACAGGUGGUCAGGUAGAGAAUACCAAGGCGCUUGAGAGAACUCGGGUGAAGGAACUAGGCAAAAUGGUGCCGUAACUUCGGGAGAAGGCACGCUGACAUGUAGGUGAAGUGAUUUACUCAUGGAGCUGAAGUCAGUCGAAGAUACCAGCUGGCUGCAACUGUUUAUUAAAAACACAGCACUGUGCAAACACGAAAGUGGACGUAUACGGUGUGACGCCUGCCCGGUGCCGGAAGGUUAAUUGAUGGGGUCAGCGCAAGCGAAGCUCCUGAUCGAAGCCCCGGUAAACGGCGGCCGUAACUAUAACGGUCCUAAGGUAGCGAAAUUCCUUGUCGGGUAAGUUCCGACCUGCACGAAUGGCGUAAUGAUGGCCAGGCUGUCUCCACCCGAGACUCAGUGAAAUUGAACUCGCUGUGAAGAUGCAGUGUACCCGCGGCAAGACGGAAAGACCCCGUGAACCUUUACUAUAGCUUGACACUGAACAUUGAGCCUUGAUGUGUAGGAUAGGUGGGAGGCUUUGAAGUGUGGACGCCAGUCUGCAUGGAGCCGACCUUGAAAUACCACCCUUUAAUGUUUGAUGUUCUAACGUGGACCCGUAAUCCGGGUUGCGGACAGUGUCUGGUGGGUAGUUUGACUGGGGCGGUCUCCUCCUAAAGAGUAACGGAGGAGCACGAAGGUUGGCUAAUCCUGGUCGGACAUCAGGAGGUUAGUGCAAUGGCAUAAGCCAGCUUGACUGCGAGCGUGACGGCGCGAGCAGGUGCGAAAGCAGGUCAUAGUGAUCCGGUGGUUCUGAAUGGAAGGGCCAUCGCUCAACGGAUAAAAGGUACUCCGGGGAUAACAGGCUGAUACCGCCCAAGAGUUCAUAUCGACGGCGGUGUUUGGCACCUCGAUGUCGGCUCAUCACAUCCUGGGGCUGAAGUAGGUCCCAAGGGUAUGGCUGUUCGCCAUUUAAAGUGGUACGCGAGCUGGGUUUAGAACGUCGUGAGACAGUUCGGUCCCUAUCUGCCGUGGGCGCUGGAGAACUGAGGGGGGCUGCUCCUAGUACGAGAGGACCGGAGUGGACGCAUCACUGGUGUUCGGGUUGUCAUGCCAAUGGCACUGCCCGGUAGCUAAAUGCGGAAGAGAUAAGUGCUGAAAGCAUCUAAGCACGAAACUUGCCCCGAGAUGAGUUCUCCCUGAGACUUAGAGUCUCCUGAAGGAACGUUGAAGACGACGACGUUGAUAGGCCGGGUGUGUAAGCGCAGCGAUGCGUUGAGCUAACCGGUACUAAUGAACCGUGAGGCUUAACCUUACAACGCCGAAG
rnacentral:rRNA from 1 species